rnacentral:lncRNA from 1 species
GUAAAUUUUGAGUAGAAUUAUACUUAUCAAGUUAUUAGUUAUAAUUGUCUACAUACUUGCCCAAUUCUUUUGUUUAACAUGAUCAUAAGAUCAUAGAUUUAGAGAUGGAAAGGUAUUUAGUGGUAUCUAGUUCAACCCUUCCCCCUAAUUUAUCUAUGAGGAAACUGAGACUCAGACAAUAACAUGCGUUUUCUCUGGUCACCUAGGUAGUAAGAAGUGAAAGAUCCAGAAUUUGGACUUUAAUCCUGUGCCUCUAGCUCUCUUCCAACCACACUGCCUUCAUCCACUGGCUAUGGUAGAGGGCCACCAUACUCCACCCAGAGCUUCUAGAGUCAUUGUUGUUAUGAUUAACUACAAGAUAAGGCUGGCUAAAGAAAUUGGCUUUUGACUGCUUAUCGUGGGAUAAAGAACACCUACGAGGACUCAAGCCAAUGACAAUGAAAAGAAUCAACCUCUACCUCACUCCAUGGUAUCCAUAGAAGUCUGAGGAGAAGACGGCCUGGCUCUGGGACCUGAGAAUCAUCCAAAAGAGGAGGAGUUGGACUGGGCAUCCUUAGAGUCUAUGCAGGCUGCAUUGGGAUAACCGUUUUGAAGCAGAGAUUCAGGCCAGGAAGGAAGAGAACCUACAGGGAGUAUAUUUGUUUAGUUCAAGCCGACUUCCUGAGGACCUGGUCCUUUUAUAGCAGCUGCUGAUAUUUUCCUAGGCGAGCUAGCUGGGAUGGUGGAUAAAGUGCUUCCUGACUUGGAGUUAGGGAGACCUGAGUUUGAAUAGUGUUUAAUUAUUUACUGGUUGUGUGACUUUUGGCAAGUUACUUAGGUCCCCUCUAUCUCAGUUUCCUCAUAUGUAAAAUUAAGGAGUUUACUUGGUUGACCUUUAAGAUCCCUUCUAGUUCUAAAUCUAUGAUCCCACAAUUUAUCCUCUCCAUACCAAUGAGGGCUGCUAUGGUGGAGGAUGGGGAAAAAUAGGGUAAAAGGUGAAAAGUUACAAGAUUCCAGAAGGGAACUCAGAGGCUAAUCCAGACUCCUUGUUUUACAGUUGGAGAAACUGAGACCUAGGGAGGGUAAGCAAGUUUCCCGGGAUCAUGCCGAUAAUGUGAAUAUUUGAUCCUAAGGAUAAAGUACCUGGACAACUUUCUUUUGUUAAUGGAUUAAUUGAUUUGAAAUCUGACCACCCAAAUCUCCUGCUCCUCAAUCUUGGGUUCAGUUCAGUCUUCAUCCUGCCCAAGAUGUGCCCAAGAUCAUGGCCUUUUAACCUGGGAUCUGUGAACUUGUUUUAAAAAAUAUUUUGUCAAUUGUGUUUUGUAAUCAC